ACACAGAGAGACCCUGUCUCGGGGGGAAAAAAGGAACAUGGGCCUUGUGUGCGAUGGCUGCAAAAAGUAGCCUCCUAGGGAGUGCAUAUAGCCUGUUGCCUAUACAGGUUGCCCUAAGAGACCUUAGAGACAAUU